GUGGGGAAUUUUGGACAAUGGGCGCAAGCCUGAUCCAGCCAUGCCGCGUGAGUGAAGAAGGCCUUCGGGUUGUAAAGCUCUUUCGGCGGGGAAGAAAUGGCAACGGCUAAUAUCCGUUGUUGAUGACGGUACCCGCAUAAGAAGCACCGGCUAACUACGUGCCAGCAGCCGCGGUAAUACGUAGGGUGCGAGCGUUAAUCGGAAUUACUGGGCGUAAAGCGUGCGCAGGCGGUUGUGUAAGUCAGAUGUGAAAUCCCCGGGCUCAACCUGGGAACUGCGUUUGAGACUGCACGGCUAGAGUGUGACAGAGGGGGGUAGAAUUCCACGUGUAGCAGUGAAAUGCGUAGAGAUGUGGAGGAAUACCGAUGGCGAAGGCAGCCCCCUGGGUUACUACUGACGCUCAUGCACGAAAGCGUGGGGAGCAAACAGGAUUAGAAACCCCUGUAGUCC
rnacentral:rRNA from 1 species